UUAAAGAGAAAUAUUUUAAUUUUCAAAAUAAUAGAGUUCAGAGCAAUUCAUAAAAAAUGAAUUAUAGAGGAAAACAAACAUUUGAUAUAUAUAUAUAUAUAUAUAUAUAUGUUAUGGAUAUGCGUAAGCAUGUGCAUAUAUGUACAUAUACUUACACGUAAUAAACCAUUAAAAUAUUUAUUAUUUUGAAUUAUAAUCUUUAACAAUUGUACAGAAUAAUUACUUACUGGACAAGUUUGUGAAUUCUUAUUUAUUAAUGUACUCAGAUUAUAUCCAUUGAUAUCCAGGAAACCAGCGCUUUUGCAAAGCUGAUACAUUUCAUAAAAUUGUAAAGAUGAAUGAAAAAAGCAGUUUACCGUUCCAAUUACGUAAGAUUUUUCAUCAAUAUUUUCUUUAAACCAUUGAUACACUGCGUCAAUCGCACAAUUAUUCCAAACAUAUUCCUCAUCGUGUGGAGCUAUUCCAACUAAAAAUAUUUCCAUUACUUGUACUGGAUACUUUACAAAUUGUUCUGGUAUGUAUAACAACCUGUAUGCCUGAUAUAAAAAAAAAUACAUUAACCAUUAGUGGUA